AUGCAAGUAAACAAUAAUGAGAUACCACUACACAUCUAUAGAAUAGUCAAAAUCCAGAACACUUACAAUGCCAAAUGUUGGCAAGGUGAUUACUACCGCUACUUAGCAGAGGUCGCUUCUGGGGAGAAGAAAAACAGUGUGGUCGAAGCUUCUGAAGCUGCCUACAAGGAAGCCUUUGAAAUCAGGAAAGAGUAGAUGCAGCCCACGCACCCCAUUUGGCUGGGCCUGGCCCAUAACUUCUCUGUGUUCUACUAUAAGAUCCAGAAUGCACCCGAGCAAGCCUGCCUCUUAGCCAAACAAGCCUUCGAUGAUGCCAUAGCUGAGCUGGACACACUAAAUGAGAAUUCCUAUAAGGACUCCACGCUCAUCAUGCAGUUGCUGCGAGACAACCUCACCCUCUGGACGAGCGACCAGCAGGAUGAAGAAGCAGGAGAAGGCAACUGAAGAUCCUUCAGGUCCCCUGGCCCUUCCUUCACCCACCACCCCCAUCAUCACUGAUUCUUCCUUGCCACAAUCACUAAAUAUCUAGUACUAAACCUAUCUGUAUUGGCAGCACAGCUACUCAGAUCUGCACCCUUGUCUCUUGGGAAGCAGUUUCAGAUAAAUCAUGGGCAUUGCUGGACUGAUGGUUGCUUUGAGCCCACAGGAGCUCCCUUUUUUGAAUUGUGUAGAGCAGUGUAUUCUGAUAGGCAUUUCACUAUGCCUGUUGAUUUAUGGGAAAUCCAGGCGAAAGUAAUGGGGAAAAUUAGAAAGAAUUCGCCAACACAGGCUACAGUUGAUAUUUAAAAGAUCCAUUUAAAACAAGCUGAUCGUGUUUCGUUAAGCAGUACAUCUUGUGCAUGCAAAAAUGAAUUCACCCCUCCCACCUCUUUCUUCAACUAAUGGAAAACUGUUAAGGGAAGCUGAUACAGAGAGACAACUUGCUCCUUUCCAUCAGCUUUAUAAUAAACUGUUUAACGUGAGGUUUCAGUAGCGUCUUGUUUUUGCCUCUUUAAAUUAUGACGUGCACAAACCUUCUUUUCAAUGCAAUGCAUCUAAAAGUUUUGAUACUUGUAACUUUUUUUUUGGUUGCAAUUGUUUAAGAAUCAUGGAUUUAUUUUUUGUAACUCUUUGGCUAUUGUCCUUGUGUAUCCUGACAGCGCCAUGUGUGUCAGCCCAUGUCAAUCAUGAUGGGUGAUUAUGAAAUGCCAGACUUCUAAAAUAAAUGUUUUGGAAUUCAAUGGGUAAAUAAAUGCUGCUUUGGGGGAAAAAAAAGACAA